rnacentral:rRNA from 1 species
GGGUGAGUAACACGUAUGCAACCUGCCCCUGUCAGGGGGACAACCCGCCGAAAGGCGGGCUAAACCCGCGUACAUGCCACCGGGGCAUCCCGGAGGCAGGAAAGGCUUCGGCCGGACAGGGAUGGGCAUGCGGCGCAUUAGGCAGUAGGCGGGGUAACGGCCCACCUAACCGACGAUGCGUAGGGGUUCUGAGAGGAAGGUCCCCCACACUGGUACUGAGACACGGACCAGACUCCUACGGGAGGCAGCAGUGAGGAAUAUUGGUCAAUGGUCGGGAGACUGAACCAGCCAAGCCGCGUGAGGGAGGAAGGUACAGAGUAUCGUAAACCUCUUUUGUCAGGGAACAAAGACUGGGACGCGUCCCCGGAUGAGUGUACCUGAAGAAAAAGCAUCGGCUAACUCCGUGCCAGCAGCCGCGGUAAUACGGAGGAUGCGAGCGUUAUCCGGAUUUAUUGGGUUUAAAGGGUGCGCAGGCGGUCUGUUAAGUCAGCGGUCAAAGCCCGGGGCUCAACCCCGGCCCGCCGUUGAAACUGGCAGUCUCGAGUUGGAGAGAAGUAUGCGGAAUGCGCGGUGUAGCGGUGAAAUGCAUAGAUAUCGCGCAGAACUCCGAUUGCGAAGGCAGCAUGCCGGCUCCACACUGACGCUGAGGCACGAAAGCGUGGGUAUCGAACAGGAUUAGAUACCCUGGUAGUCCACGCAGUAAACGAUGAAUGCUGGCUGUCCGGG